rnacentral:rRNA from 1 species
UACGGAGGGUGCAAGCGUUAUCCGGAUUUAUUGGGUUUAAAGGGUGCGUAGGUGGCGUAUUAAGUCAGUGGUGAAAGUCUGCAGCUUAACUGUAGAAGUGCCAUUGAUACUGGUAUGCUUGAGUGUGGUGAAGGUAGGCGGAAUUCGUGGUGUAGCGGUGAAAUGCAUAGAUACCACGAAGAACACCGAUAGCGUAGGCAGCUUACUAUACCAUUACUGACACUGAUGCACGAAAGCGUGGGGAGCGAACAGG